UACGAAGGGGGCUAGCGUUGCUCGGAAUCACUGGGCGUAAAGCGCACGUAGGCGGAUUGCUAAGUCAGGGGUGAAAUCCUGGAGCUCAACUCCAGAACUGCCCUUGAUACUGGCGGUCUCGAGUCCGGGAGAGGUGAGUGGAACUGCGAGUGUAGAGGUGAAAUGCGCAGAUAUCAGGAGGAACACCAAUGGCGAAGGCAGCUCACUGGGACGGUAUUGACGCUGAGACGCGAAAGCGUGGGGAGCAAACAGG
rnacentral:rRNA from 1 species